rnacentral:SRP_RNA from 1 species
GGCCAGGUCCCACGCAACAGAUACCCGCCAACUCCGUCAGGACCGGAAGGUAGCAGCGGUAACGGGAUCAUCUGUGUGCCGUGGUACGCCUGGCCUGA